rnacentral:lncRNA from 1 species
UGCGAGAUCUCGCUCACCUAGGUUCAGAGACGAAACACACGCGGGAGAGGAAGGGCUCCACGUCGAGGUGCUGCACGAGAAGGUUGCCAGAGAGGAAGAAGAACCGCUCAUCAUCGGGCGUCAUGGAAGCAGCUCCUGGUGCCGAUCUCUUCGGGAAUGGAACGCCCAUGGCGUCCGAUGUCUCGUGGUGCUUCCGGGGAAGAAUAUGGCCUCCGAUCUGCUGCUGCUGACGAGCUCACCUGAGCCCGUCCAUGGCGCCGACGAAGAUGGGUCUCUCCUGACAGCGCGAGGGAAGAGGAGGAGGAAGAAAUGGGGAGCUAGGGUUUCGAGGAGGAGAGAGGCCUGCUAAAACAGCCUCGGGCGACGCGCUAGGGCCGUAUGAUGGAGGAGAGAAGGAA